GAUGAACGCUGGCGGCGUGCCUAAUACAUGCAAGUCGAGCGAACAGACGAGGAGCUUGCUUCUCUAAUGUUAGCGGCGGACGGGUGAGUAACACGUGGAUAACCUACCUAUAAGACUGGGAUAACUUCGGGAAACCGGAGCUAAUACCGGAUAAUAUUUUGAACCGCAUGGUUCAAUAGUGAAAGACGGUCUUGCUGUCACUUAUAGAUGGAUCCGCGCUGCAUUAGCUAGUUGGUAAGGUAACGGCUUACCAAGGCAACGAUGCGUAGCCGACCUGAGAGGGUGAUCGGCCACACUGGAACUGAGACACGGUCCAGACUCCUACGGGAGGCAGCAGUAGGGAAUCUUCCGCAAUGGGCGAAAGCCUGACGGAGCAACGCCGCGUGAGUGAUGAAGGUCUUCGGAUCGUAAAACUCUGUUAUUAGGGAAGAACAAAUGUGUAAGUAACUGUGCACAUCUUGACGGUACCUAAUCAGAAAGCCACGGCUAACUACGUG
rnacentral:rRNA from 1 species